AGUACGCGAAUUGAGAAACGGCCUGGGUAUGUUCAGCGAGAUUCGUGGUAUACCCCCCAGUUGUUCUGCUUAAAGAUUGUUAGAGACGUCAAGACCCGCCUUACGUUGCUUCUGAUUGGUUCAUAUUGCAUGGUGCCUUCCGUGGUUGGUUAAAUCUAGGCACAAAGGACUGAUGGAUUGGUCUGGGAUUGGUUAUCUCGAUCAGUCAAUCAGAGUUACUCGAAUUACAGCAAGCGGGAGGACCACACACACCCACACACAUGUGCCUGCCAUCACUUCCGGAGUCGUCGGACCUCGUGUAGUUGACAUCUCGAAGCUCAUCUGAAUACUUAGCUCCUGAUGGCUGGUACGUGACGGGUGGAGUCCUCACCAAAACAAAAGAAAAUGGAGGAGAUCCGCAAGUGGGAGGUUGAGGAACGGGCCAAGCAGGAGGAGGAGCGGGCCCGACGAGAGGCAGAUC